AUUGAACGCUGGCGGCAGGCCUAACACAUGCAAGUCGGACGGUAGCACAGAGAGCUUGCUCUCGGGUGACGAGUGGCGGACGGGUGAGUAAUGUCUGGGGAUCUGCCCGAUAGAGGGGGAUAACCACUGGAAACGGUGGCUAAUACCGCAUAACGUCGCAAGACCAAAGAGGGGGACCUUCGGGCCUCUCACUAUCGGAUGAACCCAGAUGGGAUUAGCUAGUAGGCGGGGUAACGGCCCACCUAGGCGACGAUCCCUAGCUGGUCUGAGAGGAUGACCAGCCACACUGGAACUGAGACACGGUCCAGACUCCUACGGGAGGCAGCAGUGGGGAAUAUUGCACAAUGGGCGCAAGCCUGAUGCAGCCAUGCCGCGUGUAUGAAGAAGGCCUUCGGGUUGUAAAGUACUUUCAGCGGGGAGGAAGGCGGUGAAGUUAAUAGCUUAACCGAUUGACGUUACCCGCAGAAGAAGCACCGGCUAACUCCGUGCCAGCCGCCGCCGUAA
rnacentral:rRNA from 1 species